rnacentral:rRNA from 1 species
UACGGAGGAUCCGAGCGUUAUCCGGAUUUAUUGGGUUUAAAGGGUGCGUAGGUGGAUUGGUAAGUCAGUGGUGAAAGUUUGCAGCUUAACUGUAAAAUUGCCGUUGAAACUGCCGGUCUUGAGUGCAAAUGAGGUAGGCGGAAUGCGUCGUGUAGCGGUGAAAUGCUUAGAUAUGACGCAGAACUCCGAUUGCGCAGGCAGCUUACUAAACUACUACUGACGCUCAUGCACGAAGGCGUGGGGAUCAAACAGGAUUAGAUA